GGAAGAAUCACUCCUCGUCUCUGGCUUACCACACCCCUGCUGCUACAGCCCAGAAUGAGGCCACGUGCGCAAAAAAUGUCUUCUGUGCAAAUGGGUGUGUUUCUGUGCACAUUUUUGUGCGCGCGGGGUUUCGCCGUGUGCGCGGGGCUUAGGAUCUGUGUGCAAACGGGCACAGCUUA